AACGAGGUGAACCAAGAUCCGGAGAAUGACUCGCCACCACGCUAUUUCGUCCUUCCUCAUCAACAUCCGCCAGCCACCGCGCCGUGGCGCAUUCCUUCCAUACGAGUUCGCUAGAAGAGUGCGACGCCCGCCCCUCAUCCCCAAUCUCGGUAGCAGCGAAUCUCUCAUUCUCAUCGUCAGUCUCUUCGUCUGUCUCAACGAUCGGGCCUUCAGAACGCGAUCCUUGCCCCAUACGUCCUCGUGGAGACAAAGGCUGUGCCCCGUGUGACACGCAACUCUGGAGCAUUCUUCCACGGGAAGUCGAUAUGCCGACAGAUCUGUCGAAAAUUUUCUCAUCGCAGCAGAGAAGGCUGCCUUCUCGACUGACAAGUAUGCCACUGUUCCUCUUGCUCUUGGAUACGGCAUGUGAUCCUGCAGCAGGCGUAUCCUGAUGGAACAAGACUUCGGCAGAAACUGAUGAGACGGGAUGGUCCAUUGCCAGACCGGUAGAACCGAACAGCCUCUGUUCCACCUCCGCUGUCACGGGCUGAUUCGACAUGUCGGGGCGCCUAUUUGGGUUCGUCCGUACUUGUCUUGAAGGAUAUUCUGUGACGCCAGACAGAAAGAGCCGCUGAAUGCAUCCAGCCACACCUCUUCCGCCCAUAUCUCCGGCCGGAGAAACUACUGACAGGGGCUGUAGAGAAACGUCUACGUCGGACGCUUCACAGCUCGCAUCGAAGAUGUCAGAUAGCGCGGACGCGAGCAAGCUUCCUCUGACAAAAUGAUUUUCACGACAGGGCUCACCGACGUGUUCCCCAUCCUUCCUUACAACAAUGUGACAUGUUGCGGGAGACGGUGUCCUUGCACUGGUUUCUGCUACGUGUCGAUAUGAUUCUUUCUUCUUAGAAUCAGACUUACACACAACGUGGCUCUCCGACCGGACAUGCCUUUCGGACAGUGCCAUGUUCGUCGGCUCUCGGGGGGUACGAUGCGCUACAAGGUCUUUCAAGGGAAACUGUUUCAUCUCAACUUGCUGGAAUACGCUGCCGCAGGCAUCUACACGCACCACCGCGUUACUUUGACCCGAAAAUGCACCGACGGACAAGGGCGUAAACAACAUCCGCAGUACGCGUGUGAGGGAGGAUGAAGCCGUACUUGAGACGGGUCCGGAGGUUCUUCUUCCAGUAAUGUUCAACUUCCGUCUGAGAAUGCCGCCUUCUGAUGAAGGGAGAAUCUCGGAACCCCGUAUUUGCAUACAUAGCUUGUCUCGUUUAUUGUUACAACGUAGCGGGCGUAUGCUUCGCCGAGAUGGCGCCUGCUCGCUCGAGUCAUUGUCGUCAUCAGUACACGAAUGAAACCUCGUCUCAUCUACAGUCCCGCCCCCCUCCCGCAGCGCUUUUCUCUCCGCAACUCUGUUUUCAUUUUGAGGACUUCCUCCACGCAUAUGGCGAGAAGCGUCUUGCCUCUUAACCUUGCCACCCUGUCGCACCUGUUCCUCCGGCGAGUGUACUAUCUCUGACUUAACGGCCCUCACUGACGAACAAAUCGGGUGUGAUUGACUCAAGCCUUCUCCCUGAUGAACCGGCUUCUGGUGUAAGAUCCAGAUUCCCUGAUACACAGCGUCUUGGUUCAUCUGUGGAAACGAUGAAUCAGCAGUUAACACCCUCCUGACUCCGCUAGUUUGUGCUGACGUCGAACCCGCUGAGGUCAGUAAGCCCGAUUUUUCAGUUCGCAUUGUCGUGUUCAACGCUGGAGCUCUCAUUUGUUUCGCCUGGUAGUGACUGUCUCCCGUUGACCGGUGUACUUCGGUCGAGUUAGGUGCUCCCGGUAAGCCUCCCGCCACUGCGAGUGGCACUCCCCGGAAUGAUGUAUCGCACGGUUCGUCCGUCACACAAAAUGUACACUCGAUAUUUGAUCUAUGGACUGUAUCCGUCUCUCCUUCUUCCUCUCGUGGACCUUGAAAGCACCUGACUGUGGUAACAUCUCCAAACGACAGCCCUUCGGAUUUCUGUGCGUGUCCACGUUCUGUUACAUAUUGUAGCGAUGUCCGCAUAGGCAUUGGCGCACGCGCUGCGCAGAAUGUGGCGUUGUAACAGUCAGGAUGGGUGGAUCGGCAGCACUGCCACGCCACAGAAUCGUCUGUCGACCUUGUGUUGGCGUCGGGCAUUUCCAUGAUGUUGUCGUACAGGAGGCACGGUUUGGCACAUGCACCGGUGUGCGACUUCGUUGAUUCAAUAGCUAGGAGAGGGCCGAUCUUGCCGUUGUUGCUGAACACAUCUGCGGUUGUGGCAGACGAAUGUUCUGGAUGAGGGUGGCCGUCGUUGGAGAUGGUGCUACGGGCCUCCCACUUGGCCGAACACCCAACACCCUGGUGACUGCUCCAAACGCCGGCAUUUCUAACGUGGCUGACUUCCAUCUGACCGGUGUGCGUGAAACCGUCCACAGUGGACUGUGUAUUCGCGUCAUCACGCGCCGCUUCACUACUCCCAGGUCCUGCUACACCUCCCGCAUGUAUUCUGUUGUCUUCGGAGAGUUUAUUUCUACUGUAAACAGGGGAAAGAGGCAUCCCUGUGAAACCGCGUUUGCAAUGGUCACAUGCGCCACGCCCAGAUUUGCAUUCUUUGCCACAUCUUCUGCCCCGCUGCACAGUAGUAGUGUCUUUGAAAUGAUUUCUGGUACCUGCCGCGCGGACAGUUGAGGCGGCUGCUUCCGGUGGAGAAUACACCUGAAACUCCCUUUCACUUGAUACCUGCGGUGUGACUCGGAAGCCUUCCGUGCUCGCAGUCCCUUCACAGCUACACGAAAUCUGGUCUUCCGACAGAUGAUCAUAUUGAGCUUGGCAUUUUUUUUUCUCUAGAAGCGCCCCUUCGAAAUGGUGAACUGCCUGUCCGGACAGACGUCGG
rnacentral:lncRNA from 1 species